rnacentral:rRNA from 1 species
AACGAACGCUGGCGGCAUGCCUAACACAUGCCAGUCGAACGAGACCUUCGGGUCUAGUGGCGCACGGGUGCGUAACGCGUGGGAACCUGCCCUUAGGUUCGGAAUAACUCCCCGAAAGGGGUGCUAAUACCGGAUAAUGUCUUCGGACCAAAGAUUUAUCGCCUUUGGAUGGGCCCGCGUUGGAUUAGCUAGUUGGUAGGGUAAAAGCCUACCAAGGCGACGAUCCAUAGCUGGUCUGAGAGGAUGAUCAGCCACACUGGGACUGAGACACGGCCCAGACCCCUACGGGAGGCAGCAGGGGGGAAUAUGGGAAAAGGGGGGAAACCCUGACCCACCAAGGCCGGGGGAGUGAUGAAGGCCUUAGGGUUGUAAAGCUCUUUUACCCGGGAUGAUAAUGACAGUCCCGGGAGAAUAAGCCCCGGCUACCCCCGU